CAAAUUACUUUUAAAACUAGAUUGCACUUUUAUUAAGAGUGAGAAAUACAAAAAUUGUACACAUCUUAUAGCUGAACGCCUAUGUAAGAGUGAAAAAUUUUUAGCAGCUUGUGCGGCAGGAAAGUGGAUACUAACCAAGGACUAUAUAAUUCAUAGUGCCAAAAGUGGCAGAUGGCUUGAUGAAACAACUUAUGAAUGGGGAUAUAAAAUUGAAAAAGAUUCCCGUUAUUCACCUCAAAUGCAAUCUGCACCUAAAAGAUGGCGUGAAGAACUGAAACGCACUGGUGCUCCAGGAGCCUUCCACAGAUGGAAAGUUGUCCUCCUUGUUAGAACUGAUAAGCGAAGUGAUUCUCUUAUAAGGCUGUCAGAUACAACUGCAUUAGAAUAGAUAAACAACCAGUGUACAACGUAGAGGUUAAAAAUGCUGAAUUUCCCAGAGGUGUAUUAAAUUUAAUUGAAAGCCUCAUAGAAGGACAUUUUUUUAAAGAAGCAAUUGAGGAACUUUCCACUUUGCAGGCACAUUAUAUCCCUCCUGUAUGCGUUCUUCAUGCCCUUCUAGAGAACGUUCUACAGCUCUUCUUCACCUGCAUCCU
rnacentral:lncRNA from 1 species